GGACCAUGAGUGUUGUGGCUGUCAUGUGCUGGUGGUGACAAAUGGAAUUUUUGACGUGAUGAAAGCUUUGCUAUGUAUUGCCGGAACCCUCCUGCUCUGUCUUCUGCAUUCUGCAGCUGGGUCCAAGUGACAAUCCCGCGCUUUGAAAGAUCCCUGGACUCAAGAACAGUCUGGGCUUAACUCCUGGCUUCAUUACUAACUGUAAACCAAAGCUCACUGAACCUCAGUUUCCCCAACUAUAAAAUAAGGGGGGGGGAGGAUGUUGAAAUCCCUACCAAAGACACAAUGCUAUGUGACAUUAACAUACGUGCAUGGAUCCAAUCACAUCAUUUCAUUUUCUCCUUUUGAUAUCCAGUAAGCAUCCGCCGAGCACAGAGUAUCAAGUUGUCACCCACAUCACCUCAGUAGCACCUCCCAUCAGUGGCACGGCUGGAUAUGGAGAAAAUGAAGCUCACUGAAAAUGGGACCUGUCUAGGAAACAGUGGAUUGAACCUUGGAAAAACAAAACGAAACACCCAGAAGCCAUCAUGUCGCAAGAAUAAUUUCAAGAGCAGCAGUGGAGUCUUUUUGGAUGCCAGAGGCUGCACUAAAUGUCUUUCUCCUUA
ensembl:antisense Gm13584 predicted gene 13584